rnacentral:rRNA from 1 species
ACGGGAGGCAGCAGUGGGGAAUAUUGGGCAAUGGGCGCAAGCCUGACCCAGCAACGCCGCGUGAAGGAAGAAGGCUUUCGGGUUGUAAACUUCUUUUGUCAGGGAAGAGUAGAAGACGGUACCUGGCGAAUAAGCCACGGCUAACUACGUGCCAGCAGCCGCGGUAAUACGUAGGUGGCAAGCGUUGUCCGGAUUUACUGGGUGUAAAGGGCGUGUAGCCGGGUCGGUAAGUCAGAUGUGAAAUCCACGGGCUCAACUCGUGAACUGCAUUUGAAACUGCUGAUCUUGAGUAUCGGAGAGGCAAUCGGAAUUCCUAGUGUAGCGGUGAAAUGCGUAGAUAUUAGGAGGAACACCAGUGGCGAAGGCGGAUUGCUGGGGACUUAUCGACGCUCAUGCUCGAAAGUGCGGGUAGCAAACAGGAUUAGAUACCCUGGUA